rnacentral:rRNA from 1 species
AGUGAACGCUGGCGGUAGGCCUAACACAUGCAAGUCGAACGGCAGCACAGUAAGAGCUUGCUCUUACGGGUGGCGAGUGGCGGACGGGUGAGGAAUACAUCGGAAUCUACUUUUUCGUGGGGGAUAACGUAGGGAAACUUACGCUAAUACCGCAUACGACCUACGGGUGAAAGCAGGGGAUCUUCGGACCUUGCGCGAUUGAAUGAGCCGAUGUCGGAUUAGCUAGUUGGCGGGGUAAAGGCCCACCAAGGCGACGAUCCGUAGCUGGUCUGAGAGGAUGAUCAGCCACACUGGAACUGAGACACGGUCCAGACUCCUACGGGAGGCAGCAGUGGGGAAUAUUGGACAAUGGGCGCAAGCCUGAUCCAGCCAUACCGCGUGGGUGAAGAAGGCCUUCGGGUUGUAAAGCCCUUUUGUUGGGAAAGAAAAGCAGCAGGUUAAUACCCCGCUGUUCUGACGGUACCCAAAGAGUAAGCACCGGCUAACUUCGCG